rnacentral:rRNA from 1 species
GACGAACUGUGCAAACGUUAUUCGGAAUCACUGGGCUUGAAGAGUGCGUAGGCGGUUUUGUAAGUAGGGUGUGAAAGUCCUCGGCUCAACCGGGGGAUUGCGCCCUAGACUGCAAGGCUGGAGUGAGGUAGGGGUGUGUGGAACUUCUAGUGGAGCGGUGAAAUGUGUUGAUAUUAGAAGGAACGCCGGUGGCGAAAGCGACACACUGGACCUUGUCUGACGCUGAGGCACGAAAGCCAGGGGAGCAAACGGGAUUAGAAACCCCCGUAGUCC